CUUGGGUGUGUGGGAACGUCUGGUUUCCCCGCUCGACGCCGAGGGCCCUCAAAGGCCCUAGCGACGAAGUCGGAGAGAGAUGGAAGUCGCUUUGGGUUCAGGUUCAGCGUUUGGUCCCGGUGUUCGAUGGAGUCGGGAAGAGACUCAGGAUCAGGGAAGAAGAGAACAAUACACCUUUCCAUGAGCAUGGAAAAGAACUACUUCAUAAACAGCUUUGCACAGGCUGGCUCUACUGACCACACUAUUACCACGGUUUCAAAAAACUCCAAGUAGAUGUGCUCACUGUCACUUGGACAAGAACAAACCAUUAUAAGUUAAAGAAAACAAAAGGUAAAAGCAGUCAGUGUAUAAACAAGAACAGCCAAAUGGAAGAGCUGCACAGGGCACAGUAUGCUGGAGUAUGGGGAUAAACUUCAUGCUCUCUCUGCAUGCACCAACCUCCCAGAAGCUUGAUGUGUUUACCAACCCUGCUCUCCAGACCCCUCUGUUUAGAGGUUUUAUGUUACACAGGCAUGGGUGAAUAAAUCAUUGGCCACUGGUGACUGAACUCCAUCUCCAACGUCUUUCUGCUUCCUGGAGAUUAGGGGUAGGACUGUAAGUUCCAAGCUUCUAAUCAAGGCUUGGUCUUUCUUGCAACCAGCCUCCACCCUGAAGCUACCUAGGACUCUACCAAGAGUAGUCUCACUAGAAAAAAGAGGACUAGGCAUGAUGGCUCACAGCUGUAGUCUUAGAACUUCAGGAGACGAAGGUGGACUAACUGCUUCAGCUGAGGAGUUCAAGACAAGCCUGUGGAACAUGGUGA